rnacentral:ncRNA from 1 species
CUUAUCCAGAGUGGUCGAGGGACGGGCCCUGUGACACCACGGCAACCUGUAACGCUCCGGGCGUUAUUACGGUGCCAAUUCCCGGGCGCGCACGCGCCGAAGAUGAG